GGAGAGGUGGCUCAGUGGUUAAGAGCACUGGCUGCUCUUCCAGAGGACCUGGGUUCAGUUCUCAGCCCCCACA
rnacentral:tRNA from 1 species